CCUACGGGUGGCAGCAGUGGGGAAUAUUGGACAAUGGGCGAAAGCCUGAUCCAGCCAUGCCGCGUGUGUGAAGAAGGCCUUCGGGUUGUAAAGCACUUUCAGUGGGGAAGAAAGCCUUGGGGCUAAUACCCUCGAGGAAGGACAUCACCCACAGAAGAAGCACCGGCUAACUCCGUGCCAGCAGCCGCGGUAAUACGGAGGGUGCGAGCGUUAAUCGGAAUUACUGGGCGUAAAGCGCGCGCAGGCGGUCUGAUAAGCCGGUUGUGAAAGCCCCGGGCUCAACCUGGGAACGGCAUCCGGAACGGUCAGGCUAGAGUGCAGGAGAGGAAGGUAGAAUUCCCGGUGUAGCGGUGAAAUGCGUAGAGAUCGGGAGGAAUACCAGUGGCGAAGGCGGCCUUCUGGACUGACACUGACGCUGAGGUGCGAAAGCGUGGGUAGCAAACAGGAUUAGAUACCCGGGUAGUC
rnacentral:rRNA from 1 species